UACGUAGGGUGCGAGCGUUGUCCGGAAUUAUUGGGCGUAAAGCGUGCGCAGGCGGUUGUGCAAGACAGAUGUGAAAUCCCCGGGCUCAACCUGGGAACUGCAUUUGUGACUGCACGGCUGGAGUGCGGCAGAGGGGGAUGGAAUUCCGCGUGUAGCAGUGAAAUGCGUAGAUAUGCGGAGGAACACCGAUGGCGAAGGCAAUCCCCUGGGCCUGCACUGACGCUCAUGCACGAAAGCGUGGGGAGCAAACAGG
rnacentral:rRNA from 1 species